rnacentral:ncRNA from 1 species
GAGGUGAUCAACGAUGAUCACCCCGGACGAUCGAAACCGUACCCGGACGCCGACAAGACGGUACUUC